AUUGAACGCUGGCGGCAGGCUUAACACAUGCAAGUCGAGCGGAGAGAGGUAGCUUGCUACUGAUCUUAGCGGCGGACGGGUGAGUAAUGCUUAGGAAUCUGCCUAUUAGUGGGGGACAACAUUUCGAAAGGAAUGCUAAUACCGCAUACGUCCUACGGGAGAAAGCAGGGGAUCUUCGGACCUUGCGCUAAUAGAUGAGCCUAAGUCGGAUUAGCUAGUUGGAGGGGUAAAGGCCUACCAAGGCGACGAUCUGUAGCGGGUCUGAGAGGAUGAUCCGCAACACUGGGACUGAGACACGGCCCAGACUCCUACGGGAGGCAGCAGUGGGGAAUAUUGGACAAUGGGCGAAAGCCUGACCCAGCCAUGCCGCGUGUGUGAAGAAGGCCUUAUGGUUGUAAAGCACUUUAAGCGAGGAGGAGGCUACUUUAGUUAAUACCUAGAGAUAGUGGACGUUACUCGCAGAAUAAGCACCGGCUAACUCUGUGCCAGCCGCCGCCGUAUCAC
rnacentral:rRNA from 1 species